UGGUGGUUAAGCUCUGUGGUUAAGACACUGGACUUCUGAUCGGAAGGUCGUGAGUUCAAAUCCCAGCACCACCAA